AUAUCAAUAAGUCGGGGAAAAGAGACUAACAAGGAUUCCCCUAGUAACUGCGAGUGAAGCGGGAAAAGCUCAAAUUUAAAAUCUGGCGGUCUCCGGCCGUCCGAGUUGUAAUCUAGAGAAGUGUUAUCCGCGCUGGACCGUGUACAAGUCUCCUGGAAUGGAGCGUCAUAGAGGGUGAGAAUCCCGUCUUUGACACGGACUGCCAGGGCUUUGUGAUGCGCUCUCAAAGAGUCGAGUUGUUUGGGAAUGCAGCUCAAAAUGGGUGGUAAAUUCCAUCUAAAGCUAAAUAUUGGCGAGAGACCGAUAGCGAACAAGUACCGUGAGGGAAAGAUGAAAAGAACUUUGGAAAGAGAGUUAAACAGUACGUGAAAUUGCUGAAAGGGAAACGCUUGAAGUCAGUCGCGUUGGCCGGGGAUCAACCUUGCUUUUGCUGGGCGUACUUUCCGGUUGACGGGUCAGCAUCAAUUUUGACCGUUGGAUAAAGUCUAGGGGAAUGUGGCAUCUUCGGAUGUGUUAUAGCCCUUGGUCGCAUACAACGGUUGGGAUUGAGGAACUCAGCACGCCGCAAGGCCGGGUACUUGUACCACGUUCGUGCUUAGGAUGCUGGCAUAAUGGCUUUAAUCGACCCGUCUUGAAACACGGACCAAGGAGUCUAACAUGCCUGCGAGUGUUUGGGUGGAAAACUCGGACGCGUAAUGAAAGUGAAAGUUGAGAUCCCUGUCGCGGGGAGCAUCGACGCCCGGACCAGACCUUUUUGUGACGGAUCCGCGGUAGAGCAUGUAUGUUGGGACCCGAAAGAUGGUGAACUAUGCCUGAAUAGGGUGAAGCCAGAGGAAACUCUGGUGGAGGCUCGUAGCGAUUCUGACGUGCAAAUCGAUCGUCAAAUUUGGGUAUAGGGGCGAAAGACUAAUCGAACCAUCUAGUAGCU
rnacentral:rRNA from 1 species